ACGAACGCUGGCGGCAGGCCUAACACAUGCAAGUCGAACGCCGUAGCAAUACGGAGUGGCAGACGGGUGAGUAACGCGUGGGAACAUACCCUUCGGUUCGGAAUAACUCAGGGAAACUUGAGCUAAUACCGGAUACGUCCGAGGUCAAACUUGGAGAAAGAUUUAUCGCCGGAGGAUUGGCCCGCGUCUGAUUAGCUUGUUGGUGAGGUAAUGGCUCACCAAGGCGACGAUCAGUAGCUGGUCUGAGAGGAUGAUCAGCCACAUUGGGACUGAGACACGGCCCAAACUCCUACGGGAGGCAGCAGUGGGGAAUAUUGGACAAUGGGCAAAAGCCUGAUCCAGCCAUGCCGCGUGAGUGAUGAAGGCCCUAGGG
rnacentral:rRNA from 1 species